GUCCUGAAGGAACGUUGAAGACUACGACGUUGAUAGGUCGGGUGUGUAAGCGCAGCGAUGCGUUGAGCUAACCGAUACUAAUGAACCGUGAGGCUUAACCUUACAACGCCGAAGGUGUUU
rnacentral:rRNA from 1 species